rnacentral:rRNA from 1 species
AUUGAACGCUGGCGGCAUGCCUUACACAUGCAAGUCGGACGGUAACAGGUCUUCGGAUGCUGACGAGUGGCGAACGGGUGAGUAAUACAUCGGAACGUGCCCAGACGUGGGGGAUAACGAGGCGAAAGCUUUGCUAAUACCGCAUACGAUCUAAGGAUGAAAGCAGGGGACCGCAAGGCCUUGCGCGUUUGGAGCGGCCGAUGGCAGAUUAGGUAGUUGGUGGGAUAAAAGCUUACCAAGCCGACGAUCUGUAGCUGGUCUGAGAGGACGGCCAGCCACACUGGGACUGAGACACGGCCCAGACUCCUACGGGAGGCAGCAGUGGGGAAUUUUGGACAAUGGGCGAAAGCCUGAUCCAGCAAUGCCGCGUGCAGGAUGAAGGCCUUCGGGUUGUAAACUGCUUUUGUACGGAACGAAAAGGCCCUGGCUAAUACCUGGGGCACAUGACGGUACCGUAAGAAUAAGCACCGGCUAACUACGUGCCAGCAGCCGCAGUAA